GGGACGAACGCUGGCGGCGUGCUUAACACAUGCAAGUCGAGCGGUAAGGCCUUUCGGGGUACACGAGCGGCGAACGGGUGAGUAACACGUGGGUGAUCUGCCCUGCACUUCGGGAUAAGCCUGGGAAACUGGGUCUAAUACCGGAUAUGACCUCAGGUUGCAUGACUUGGGGUGGAAAGAUUUAUCGGUGCAGGAUGGGCCCGCGGCCUAUCAGCUUGUUGGUGGGGUAAUGGCCUACCGAAGGCGACGACGGGUAGCCGACCUGAGAGGGUGACCGGCCACGACUGGGACUGAGACACGGCCCAGACUCCUACGGGAGCAGCAGUGGGAUAUGCACAAUGGGCGAAAGCCUGAUGCAGGCGACGCCGCGUGAGGGAUGACGGUCCUUCGGGUU
rnacentral:rRNA from 1 species